rnacentral:rRNA from 1 species
GAUGAACGCUGACAGCAUGCUUAACACAUCAGCGACUGAUUGGUGGCGGACGGGUGAGUAACGCUUAUAGCACUUGCCUCACCUCUUGGGACAACAUUUCGAAACGAAAGCUAAUACCUAAUCCUGUGAGAGAUCUUUGCGUACCAUUUGCUCGUUGGAGAGGUAACGGCUCACCAAGGCGAUGAGGGGUAGCCGGCCUGUGAGGGUGAUCGGCCACAAAGGGACUGAGGCACGGCCCUUACGGCUACGGGAGGAAGGAGUGGGAGACAGUGGAAAAUGGGCCAAAGUAUGAUGCAGCAAUUCUGUGUGCACGAUGAAGUUUUCGGAAGGAAGAGUGCAUUCAGUUGGGAAGCGGUACCAGCAGAAGAAGUGACGGCUAAAUACGUGCCAGAAGCCGCGGUAAUUC